GGAGAGGUGCCAGAGUGGCUGAAUGGCCCGGUUUCGAAAACCGGUUAGUGCGCAAGUGCUACGGGGGUUCGAAUCCCCCCCUCUCCGCCA
rnacentral:tRNA from 1 species